GCCCGCUUAGCUCAGUGGUUCAGAGCGUGUCUGGAGUACCGAUCCCCUAAGAAUACCUACCCAAAGUAUCCCUAGACUCAGUAUCUCUACAUGGCAAGAUCAUCAGUUCGAAUCUGAUAGUGGAUA